UAGGUUGUCUCCGUCCCGGCUCUCCGGUUUCGCCCAAAACCAUUGCCGUGACCGAAAACCUCGCGAUACAGUGUUGUUUAGAGCUAGCGGAGAAGGCAACGACAAAAUCGCUGCGUAUAGAGGCCUCCUAAACUCGUAUCUUUCUCCUCCUUGAGCUCCACUUGUACCGGAAACAACUGAGGAAGAAUAAUGUAUUCAAUACCUCUGUGAAUCUCGGAACCCUAUUACGAGAAUCUGCAGAACAUGCUCUUUAUCUCAGCGCAAAACAUGUGCUCAGACGUGCUUGUUUGGAGGAAAAAGGAACUCGAGGGAUGAAAACAAGGAUCGCAGGGGAAAGCAUACCUUACAAAUCGGAUAGGAAAAUUGAAUUGCUAGGGCUCGUGAGAAGGAAGGAGAGGGAUAUUGGAGCAAAAUUGAAUUUCUAGGGCUCGCCGAUCUACAGUUCUGGGUGCGAUUCCUGGAAAGGGCGAGGCUGUGAUUCUACUAGAAAGGGCGAGGCAAGGGAGGCGAGGUGAUUCUCUGGAAAGGGUGAGGGAUAGAGGGCACCACAGGUAUUCUUUCCCAAUUGCAAAAAUUAUACGCGGGAUGCAGGGGGUGGACAGCUUGCGAAGCGAGGAAGGAAAUGGCGAUAUUAGAAAGCCAUGGUACCAAAAAUUUCCACCCGAAUGCGACAUUCAAACGGGUAGGCGGCUUUUUCAGAACGCCGUCGCACCCUAUAAGUUGCCCCAAACGGGCACUACAUCAAAUAUCUUCUUGCAACGUACCGAGCCUAAGACUUAAACGAGCGAUGGAUAAAUGGAAGCGAGCUUAUGAUAAAUUCUCUUAUAUGACGGAGGAGAGCGCUGACUCGUUGAUGCGAAGUAUUGUGCUGACUCGUACAUGGUGGCACAGACCUGAGGAAAUUGUGCGCCUCAUGAAGAAGAAGAUGAGAGCUCAUAAACACAACUGAAAUAUAUCGAGUAAGCUUCUGUCCUUCUUCUCCUAUUAAGUUGGCUAUUUCUUAUUUUCUUUCACUGUAAGUUUAAAUUUUUAACUCCAUGAAUGAAUUUUAUGUUUCAUCUUUGUACUUAUUUAAGUGUUUUUGAGAAUAUUUGAAGCCUGUUUUGAUGUAAGUUUGGUAU